rfam:Brassica napus, WGS project CCCW01000000 data, contig: 17063
CAGCCAUGUGGUGAACACAAAGCGAACUAUUCUUUCGCCUUUUACUAAAGAAUACCGUGUGUUCUCCAUUCUUAAGUGGCAUACUGAUGUUAGGAGUUUUCAAGGCUCCUA